AUGCUGCGGGCGCUGGCGGCUACCGCGCCCCGGAGGUGGUGGACACGCGGCGGCACUCCCUGGGCGCGCUCCUGCUCCAUCCCCCGUCCGGUGCCGUCGCCGGUGAUGCACAUGCCGCAGUGCGCGCCGGUGAAUGUGCCAGGGGCGCGGAUGCGGCGACCGACGGUCGAGGCGUUCGCGAGUGAAGCGGAUGAGGACGACUACGACGUGGAGAUGAUGUCGCCGCAGGAGAUGGUGGCGCGCUCGCCGGCGUGGGAGCCGCCCAUGACGACCUUCUGGAGCCUGGAGGGCGCUGGACACACGCUCAAGGGGAGGGACCUCCGCCAGGUACGCAAUGCCGUGUGGUGGAAGACCGGCCUGCUCGAUUGA
rnacentral:rRNA from 1 species